rnacentral:rRNA from 1 species
GACGUGGGGGGCCAGCGUUGUUCGGAAUUACUGGGUGUAAAGGGUUCGUAGGCGGUGCGGCAAGUUGGGAGUGAAAUCUCUGGGCUUAACCCAGAGGCUGCUCCCAAAACUGCUGUGCUUGAGUGUGGGAGAGGUGCGUGGAAUUGCAGGUGUAGCGGUGAAAUGCGUAGAUAUCCGCAGGAACACCCGUGGCGAAAGCGGCGCGCUGGACCACAACUGACGCUGAGGAACGAAAGCUAGGGGAGCAAACGGG